UGGGGGAAUAUUGGACAAUGGGGGAAACCCUGAUCCAGCAAUGCCGCGUGUGUGAAGAAGGCCGCGGGUUGUAAAGCACUUUCAAUGGGAAGGCGUAACCCAUAGAAGAAGCACCGGCUAACUCCGUGCCAGCAGCCGCGGUAAUACGGAGGGUGCGAGCGUUAAUCGGAAUUACUGGGGGUAAAGCGCACGUAGGCGGUUGCGUAAGUCGAUUGUGAAGCCCCGGGACUUAACCUGGGAAUUGCAGUCGAUACUGCGCAGCUAGAGUGUGGUAGAGGGAAGUGGAAUUCCGGGUGUAGCGGUGAAAUGCGUAGAUAU
rnacentral:rRNA from 1 species